UACGUAGGGGGCAAGCGUUGUCCGGAUUUAUUGGGCGUAAAGAGCGUGUAGGCGGCUGGGUAGGUCCGUUGUGAAAACUCGAGGCUCAACCUCGAGACGCCGAUGGAAACCCUCCAGCUAGAGUCCGGAAGAGGAGAGUGGAAUUCCUGGUGUAGCGGUGAAAUGCGUAGAUAUCGGGAGGAACACCUGCGGUGUAGACGGCUUACUGGACCAUAACUGACGCUGAGGCACGAAAGCGUGGGUAGCAAACAGG
rnacentral:rRNA from 1 species